GAUGAACAUAUUGUUAUUUUUUAAUAGGAAAAAUAAUUUCAAAAAUUAUAAAUUAAGUAACUAGUAAUGAAAAAUUGGAUUAACGAUAGAAUAAUAGUACUGAAAAGGAAAUAUGAAAUAAAUUGAAAAUUAAUUUUUAAAGAAGCAGAUAUUAAUAAUUGUACCUUGUGUAUCAGGGAACUAUUAAUAAAUUUUAUUUAUUUUAAAAUUCCCAAAAAAGAAAGAUCUAAUAAUUUAUAAGUGUUUAUGUGUCAUUAUAAUUUUUAAUAAAUUAUUAGUAGUGAAAUAUUAAUCGGUUUCUUUGAUAUUUGGUUUCCUAAGAAAUAAAUUUAAUUUAUUUUUUUGUUUAUUUUAUCUAAAUUAUUAGUAAAGAUAACUUUAAAGUUAGGGUGUGAGGGAUUAGCUUCUAACCCAAUUAAAAAUUAUGUUCAAUUUGUAAUAAGUAUGUUGUGUUUUUAUGCUUAGAAAUAGCAAUAAUUAAAAAUAAUGUUAUAAUUUACAUUUAUUAAUGAAAUUAUUUUUAUUAGAGUUUACAUUAUAUAUUAGGAUGAAUACUAAAAUUUGUAAAGAAUAUAGUUAAUAUGGUUAUGAGUAGAAUAAUUAUUAUAAGAGUUUUUAUUUUUAAAUUACAAUUAAGGAACUCGGCAAAUAUAUUUUUCGCCUGUUUAUCAAAAACAUCUCCUUAUGAUUUAGUAUAAGGUAUAGCCUGCCCUAUGAAUUAUUUUUAAAUGGCCGCGGUAUUUUGACCGUGCGAAGGUAGCAUAAUCAUUAGUCUCUUAAUUGGAGGCUGGUAUGAAUGGCUGGACGAGAAAGUUUCUGUCUCUAUUGUAAAGUUUGAAUUUUAUUUUUAAGUGAAAAAGCUUAAAUGUUUUUGAGGGACGAUAAGACCCUAUGGAUCUUUAUAUGAAUUAAUGGUAAAAAGUCUAGUAGUUACGGCUUAUGAUUAAUAAAUAUUGUGUUGGGGCGACUGAAAGAAAUAAUGAUCUCUUUUUAAUAAUAAAUAUAAUUUUAUAGAAAUAUAAUGACCCUUAAUUUUGGUUUAUAAGACUAAGUUACCCUAGGGAUAACAGCGUAAUUUUUUCAGAGAGUUCUUAUCGAUGAAAAAGUUUGCGACCUCGAUGUUGGAUUAAGAUAUCCUUACGGCGCAGCUGUUGUAAAGGAAAGUCUGUUCGACUUUUAAAUUCUUACAUGAUCUGAGUUCAAACCGGCGUGAGCCAGGUUGGUUUCUAUCUUCAAAAUUUUUAUUUCAUUUUAGUACGAAAGGAUUAAAUGAGGGAAGUAUUGCUUUAUAUUAAGAACAAUAUUAAUAAAUUU
rnacentral:rRNA from 1 species